rnacentral:lncRNA from 1 species
AUGAAUAGCAAAGCAAAUUGUCAUGGAACAGUAAAACCCACAUACAUUGCCAGGAUAUACGUUCCGUUGCCCCAGGGUUACAAGAAACAACUCUCAUUCUCUGCAGCUCUUCACCUUCCUGCUCAGAAGCGGGUAGAGGAGCAGACACUGCCAGACUACAAUCCAUCCACUAAUGCUUCAGGGAGACCAGGCGAGAACAGGUCAGAAAGCAGCAGUGUGCAUCAGGAAUGGUAAGAACCAGCCUUUUACAUCAGAGACAAGAAACAAUCCAGCAGCUGAAGAACCGGGGAGGUGCAGGAGACAAAGAGUAGGAAGGGAAGUGGAAAAGAGCUCAGUGCUUGGUUGUACCGGGCUCUUUCAGCUGCCACCGUAGCAGCAAGGAGGGUCUCGUGUGUCUGUAUGGGAUCUGCCUCGGCCUGGGGGGCUUCCUAAUUAAACUAAUGAGUAUGAUCUUCCUCAGCCCUAUGCCUCCCAUCUCGGCGAGGGGCCGACUCCUGUCCCCGUGCUGCACCACGUCUCGAAUGGUCCUGAUGCAAAGUCUGCUGCCGGCUGCAGUGCCCCAGGCAGGACCAGGCUGGUUACAAUCCUAUAAUUGGUCCUGAGUUCCCUUUUUCUGGUGCAAACCACAUGCAGAUAUUCUGCCUUUGUGGCCUGGUGGUUUCCUGGAGUUUUUACAGGUGUAGCCAAAAUUUCCAGGUGGUUGCACAGCUAGUUCCAUUAGAAGCACUGCCUUUUCCUUUGUUUGCCUUUACAGUUGUAUUUUUUCCUCAUCAGACAAUUCGGUCCAAAGCUCACAGUUGGAAAUUUUGUUUCACUGCUUUUAAAGAGUAGAGCAAUGCCUCUCCUGGCCUCUUCAUUACCGAAAUAAUUCAAGGACUUGAGCAAGAAAGAUAAAACCCCACGGCAGGCAAAGCAGGCUCUGAAGGGCACAAUUUUCUGAGCCAGCUAGCCACAACUGCCGGGCAUCACCUUCCUUCCCGGCACCGUAAAGGGCUUUGUGUUUUCUUCUUUUGUACCUGACACAUUCUCUCCAAGAGAAAACAAAAUCCACAUUAGCAGACUUUAAAGGGCUCGUGAGCUUUUCUGCAGCCUCGAACCAGCACAAGGACCAAUACUUGGUGACAACAAACCUGACUGCUAUCCCAGCCGGGCCAAACCUCCGGUAUUCUCAGGGUUUCUGACACCUGGAGAGAAUCAGCACUUUCUGCCAUGGUUUUGUAUCAACAGGCAGGGU